GACGAACGCUGGCGGCGUGCUUAACACAUGCAAGUCGAACGGAAAGGCCCUGCUUUUGUGGGGUGCUCGAGUGGCGAACGGGUGAGUAACACGUGAGUAACCUGCCCUUGACUUUGGGAUAACUUCAGGAAACUGGGGCUAAUACCGGAUAGGAGCUCCUGCUGCAUGGUGGGGGUUGGAAAGUUUCGGCGGUUGGGGAUGGACUCGCGGCUUAUCAGCUUGUUGGUGGGGUAGUGGCUUACCAAGGCUUUGACGGGUAGCCGGCCUGAGAGGGUGACCGGCCACAUGGGGACUGAGAUACGGCCCAGACUCCUACGGGAGGCAGCAGUGGGGAAUAUUGCACAAUGGGCGGAAGCGUGAUGCAGCAACGCCGGGUGCGGGAUGACGGCCUUCGGGUUGUAAACCGCUUUCGCCUGUGACGAAGCGUGAGUGACGGUAAUGGGUAAAGAAGCACCGGCUAACUACGUG
rnacentral:rRNA from 1 species